UUGAUGCAGAGAUGGCUUUCUUCAGUUCGGCUGGCUGGAACACAGGUGCUGCAUGGCUGUCGUCAGCGUCGUGUCGUGAGAUGUUGGGUUAAGUCCCGCAACGAGCGCAACCCUCGCUACUAGUUGCCAUCAGGUUAAGCUGGGCACUCUAGUGGAACUGCCGGUGGCAAGCCGGAGGAAGGUGGGGAUGACGUCAAGUCCUCAUGGCCCUUACGCGUGGGGCUACACACGUGCUACAAUGGCGGUGACAGAGGGAUAAUCCCUAAAAGCCGUCUCAGUUCGGAUUGUUCUCUGCAACUCGAGAGCAUGAAGUUGGAAUCGCUAGUAAUCGCGGAUCAGCAUGCCGCGGUGAAUACGUUCCCGGGCCUUGUACACACCGCCCGUCACACCAUGGGAGUUGGUUCUACCCGAAGGUGGUGCGCUAACCGCAAGGAGGCAGCCAACCACGGUAGGGUCAGCGACUGGGGUGAAGUCGUCGUAACA
rnacentral:rRNA from 1 species